AGACACCAGGACAGAACAACAUGUGCAGGGCAGCCAGGUGGGGGAGUAAACAUGCUGCUAAGCCUGAGGGAAAGUCACUGUGGGCAGAAACUACGGCGGAUGAACCGGAAGUUUCCCAGCACAGGAAGGAAUGGACAUGCUUCAAGAGCCAGACCCCAAGGAAACCAUGACCAGAAGGGAAGGAGGCAAAAAGCAAACCAAUGCCUCUCCUAA
rnacentral:lncRNA from 1 species